GCUAUCAGCGGCCAGCGCGGGCGCGGCCGGAGACCGUGGGGCCCCCGGUUGCCGCCCCCUCGGGAGCCACCAUGUUGGUGAUACCCCCCGGACUGAGCGAGGAAGAGGAGGCUCUGCAGAAGAAAUUCAACAAGCUCAAGAAAAAGACUGUAAGCUUCUUGAGGGUAGGAACAAUGCAUUAGCCUCCUGGAUAUCCCUGUUACGAAGUCAUGGCUGGGCCUCAUUCAAUAUGCAGGAAAUAGAUGGAUGAAGCUUCCAGGAAAGAAAAAGGCAUUGCUGGCUCUGAAGAAGCAAAGUAGCAGCAGCACAACCAGCCAAGGUGGUGUCAAACGCUCACUAUCAGAGCAGCCUGUCAUGGACACAGCCACAGCAACAGAGCAGGCAAAGCAGCUGGUGAAGUCAGGAGCCAUCAGUGCCAUCAAGGCUGAGACCAAGAACUCAGGCUUCAAGCGUUCUCGAACCCUUGAGGGGAAGUUAAAGGACCCCGAGAAGGGACCAGUCCCCACUUUCCAGCCGUUCCAGAGGAGCAUAUCUGCUGAUGAUGACCUGCAAGAG
rnacentral:misc_RNA from 1 species